rnacentral:lncRNA from 1 species
UGAUGCUCAUAUUGUGUAGCAAACAAGUCUCUAACGUCCUCUAUUUUGGGAGAUAAGCAGAGGAAACUCAGCAUUUUUAAGCCGUAGCAGCGCUGCACAUGAGUGGACUGUUGCAGGCUAUGCCACAGGACUGCCCACCCUUUGACAGGUACUGCUGAUGAUACUCCUCAGCUCUGUAGAAUUUCUUAGCUGGUAGAAUCUCAGUCAUGAUCUUACUCUCCAUUUGUUUCUGGUGACGUUCCAUUGACUCCACCGCUAGUUUCUCCUGCUCAGGUGUGUAGAAGUAUAUCCCUGAUCUGUAUUGGGUUCCCACAUCUUUUCCCUGAUCACACUUUUAAGUCAUUAGCCACGGUAAAAAAUAGUCAAGGGAUAAUUUCACUACAUAGAUAUGUUAUUAUAAUAAGUAUUGUUCUCUAUCUAAAGUCUUAAAACUUUAAAAAUUUAGCAACUUCAACGUAAAAAGUUUAAAUCUUUGGACCAAGUUAAGAGAAACCCAUAAUGUACCUGGCGAUUCAAGGUGGUGGGGUCAUGUCUAGACCAGAAGACAUCAAGCAGAGACUCAAAGUUGCACUCUUUGGGAUCAUACUGAACCCUGACAACCUCUGCAUGGUUCGUUGUGUUCGUGCAGACAUCCUCGUAUGAAGGAUUGUGGAGGAACCCUUGGGUGUAUCCAACCUCCGUAUGAUUCACACCGGAGACUCUCUGAAACGCCAGCUCCACGCCCCAGAAGCAUCCAGCGGCGAACUGUGCAAACUCAUUUCCCGGCGCCGGAACGUCAUUGUCGUUUCCCUGAGUGAUAGCAGAAAGAUUCAUCGCUAAGUUUUCUAGAGAGAUUAUUAGAGUUUAUGUAUAUUUUUUUGAGAAUGGAGUUUAUGUAUUUGCAUCUAGAUACACUCCAUACAUGACCUAUAUAUACCACCUGUAUAGCUAACCAUGGAGUGUAUAUACUAUGUGUUUCCGUCCAGAUACACGAUCUAUAAAUACCACAUGCCAUAGUUAUCAUUUAAGACGAUAUUAGAGUGUAUAUGCUAUGUAAUUCCAUCCAGAUACACUCCAUUCAUGAUCUAACUAUAGAUAUCACGUGCUAGAUACAGUUAAAAAGCAUUAGAGUGUAUAUCCUUUGUAUUUCCGGCCAGAUACACUGCAUACAUGAACUAUAAUUACCACCUGUAUUUUUUUUUUUGAACUAGAACAACAGCUGUCUUGUUUUUUUUAUCUAGAAUAACACCUGUAUUGUUUUUUUUUGACCGAAAGACUAAUAACACCUGUAUUGUUAACAUUUUUUUUUUGUUAAGUAUGUGAAUUUCAUUAACUUAAUAAUGAGGCAUAGAGAUACAAUGGACUUCGACUGAUCUAAUCCUAUUGAAUCUAAGUCGCUAAGUCAACAAGACAAAGCAAUGGAGCCAUAGUAAGCCACAAAAAAAGUAAAAAGACUCACUAAGACUAAGAAGGCUCAGUCACAACCAUGAGGCUGCGAGAAAGCUUAGCUAGUUUAAUAGAUCCUAAGACAACCAUUUAGCUAACAGGAGACCAGAGAGAAGAUCUUGAAGUCGGCACCUGCAUCAAGAUCACUCGGGUCAGUAGAGAAUCGCAACCGGAGAACAGUCCGAGGAGCCGCAGACUAUCCCGAAGGCGACAUCAAAAGAAGGACAGGCGAAGCAGGAUUGGCAAGCCCUGGUCCGGCCAUCGCAAGCAAAUGAAGUCCACUCCAGACGUUGCUAUCUCAAGAAACUGCUACACCAUACUCUGAGAAUCCUAGCCGAUGUAGAGAAACCGGUAUAUGAAGCUAAGGUGAGUACUUGCAGGUGGAAGCAGAGGUUUAAACGGCUGGACUCUGGUCCCACCACACAAGCAGAGCACGAGGGAUUCCGGCCACAGAACACCAAGAGAGGCAGAGGACAACAACCAGCUUCCUUCUGAAGCUUGAAGAACAGAGGAACAAGAGCUCCUUACAGCAGGCGAAACAGGAGGAGAGACCCAUCAUAGGAAGUCAGAUGAGCAGAGUAACGGCACGAAACUCCAAUCCAACCCAAUCCCAAACAGAUCGAAACCAAAAGAAACACCAGGUGGUUGUCGAGGAACCAUUACCGAAAAAGAAGUCCCCGACGGUGAGCCUCGAACCGUCUUUUCAACUUGGAACAAGAGGGGGAAGUUCUUACCAAAGCAUCGCAAGCGGAGACAGGGGAGAGACAGAGGAGGCAGUAUACUGACCAGAACGGCGAAGGCAGCGACGCAAGGCCACUCCGGCGAACCCUCCAGGAGAGAUCUGACCCAGAUCUACUCCGGGCGAAACCCUAGAUCUACCAGUUUGACGACGCCUCCAGCUCAGAUCCGGCUCACCACGACAUCGCCAUCUCUCCAGGGAAGCUGAGGACACCCACAGCCACCGGUUUGAAUCGCCUGGUCCGGCCGCAACCCAGCGAUAAACAGAGGAGAUGAAGCAAGGAGGAAGUGGAAGAGACCGAAGCAUGAGAGGGCAGAGGCUAGGAAACGGUGACGAAACGGGGUGGCGACCGACGGGUAGAGACCCUCCGUCGGCCACCGGAACGAGAGGCAAGAGGAGAUGUCGAAGCGGAGAGUUGGUGGGGAGAGAAGAUCGAGAGAAAAGACUCUCUCACCUCUCUCUAACUUCUGCCAAACUCUAAUUCACUAUUGUUAACAUUAAAAUGAACAUUGGAGUGUAUAUACUCUGUCUGUCCGUCCAGAUACACUACGAACUAUAACGAGAGAGGUGCAGCGAAACGGAACACGGGUCUUAGUAUUACUGUUCGUUGCGUUCGCGUUUUGGUAGCGAUCGCGAUUAGAAACGGCGAGUUUGAAUCGCUAUGGUAACUGAACUUGGAAAGUGACAAAGGUCCAGCGUAUGCUAAGUUGAACCAAGAAGUUUAGGUGGAAAUCUAACCAAUAUUGUUUAUAUCUCAACUGAUUAUUUAUUUGUCAUCCAAAUGGAAAAAAAAAAAUAGUAUGAAACAAAAUUUAAUAUGCAACUGAAUCGAUCAUGCACCAGUUUAAUGUAAUCAAAAUGAAAUUAAUUUUGUAAACCGAAAUUAAAUUGUUCAUAUGUAUAGAUAACUAGAGAAAACUUUAAAUAUAUUUUAUUAUCAUUUCUUACAAUAUAUUUAUCCAAAAUUACACACCACCAACAUUUUUGGUUUCUGCUUAGUCAUAACUCUUCAAGCCAAUUGAACCAAAACAACAAAAAUAUAUCAAACCAGGCCGAAUACUCACUUUAUUCACUCUCGUCGUACGCAUUUAAAUUAGAGAAUAUAUUUAUAUACUAUGUCUUAAAAAAAAGAAAAAAAAAAUAUAUAUAUAUAUAUAUAUAUAUUUACACCAGUAUUAUAUGCUCAAUUCUUUGUAGGAGCACAUUUUAUAUUUAUCAAUAGCAUUUAAAUGGUGCAGAUACGAGUCUUACUGCACUCAGAGCAUGAGCAGCAGCGAACCUUGCAAUUCCCGAUUUCCAAUGUUUUUUUUUAUUAUUUUAAUUUGUUUUUUUCGUUUGAUUUAAAAAAAAAAAUAUAAACGAAUCUAUCGCGGGCCGCCACGUGUCGUGGGGUCCGCAGAACAGUAACGAGACGAUAUCACUCCAGCGAACCUGCACGAGCCGGGUUCAUUAAAAUUUGAUUAUUUUAAUAUUUUUCUGCCUCAAAAAUCGUGUGAACUCUAGUCUUGAUUCUUCAAUGCGGAUGGUCUCAAUUCAUUAAGGCUCUAACCUUCGACCACCCUAUUGCCGAGCUCUACGGCAUCAUCGUAACUGACAUUGAAGCUGUUGCUUUAUCCUUUGAUUUUGUUUCUUUUACUUGGAUCUCUCACGAGUCACGAGAGAAACAUAGAUGCGGAUUUAUUGGCUAAACAUGUUUUGUCUGCUGAGUUUAAGGCGCUGAGUUAGCCUUAGAGCACCAUUAACCUAGCACCCCAAGUGGGGUGCUUAUUUUAUUUUUAUUUUUUAGUUUUUUGUCUGAUUUUUUUUUUAAAAAAAAAAAUUAAAAACGAGCCAAUCACGGACCGCCACGUGUUAGUGGGGCCCGCGAAACAGUACAAGAUCCAACAAAACCCGACGCUUAAUCUGGCGUCUUUGACGUCGCUGCUUCGUCUUUUGCCGUGGAGCCCACCCUUUAGCACUUCUCUAAGCGUCCCCGUUAAUCCUGCUCUUAAUGGCCUCACCAAACAAUGGUUAAAAACUUAAAAUAUUGAAUGAAUGAAAGUAAGUGUUUCAAAAGAAAAAUAGUGUAGAUAUACUUGGUUUUUUGUCAAAUAGAACAUAUGUGUUACUUAUUGUGAAUGAUUAAGAUUAAAAUCUACUAAGAUAGAAGAUAUUUUACUAAUUAAGAACGAUUGAAUAAUUAGAAAUCUUAUUCCUCAUCAAAAGAGCAGAGCUAUCGACAAAGUCAUUUGAAACCGCAUCCUAUCUCUGAACUACUCCACAACUCCAAGGCUGCACGGCUUACUCAGACGUUGGUAUCUUAUCCCCGGCAACUGAUAGCUAAGGCAUUAUCUUUCAUUGUUUGCUCUUUCCAUCUGUAAAUGACUAUAUUGUUUUAAAUUACUCAAUAAAUUUGAAAUUUCAAGAAAAUAGUUAGAAAGCUUAAAAAAAACAUACACAUUUUUAGGAAACAUACACUUUUGUGUUCGCAUUCAGUUUGAAGUUUUCAAAAAAGUUGUUAACAUUUCUACAUCUUAUUAUGCACUGAGAAAUACAAAUCAACAACACACACAAGCAAACAAACAAAAAAGGAUCAGUUGCAGCCUUGCAGGUGUAUCUACUAACUUAGGCUCUUCUUGAGCUAUCGGAGAAGGAACAGUUGCAAGUAAAUCUACUAACUCAGGUUCUUCUUUCAGCAUCAAAGAAUCCAUUUUGAUAGAUCAAUAUGUGAAAGAAAGGAUGGGACUAGUGAUUUUCUUAAAGUGUUGUAUUGUUGUUGAUGGUGAAGCAAAUGGCAAUAAGAAACCUUAUUCAGCAUAUUAUUUUUUCAUCCAUAAGAUUCGCUCAAAUCUAAACAAUCAAUAAUUCAACAACAUCAAUAGACAUCUUUAUAGUCUCUAACAUGAAACAAGAAAGUAACUUGUUACACUUAUUAGGGAUUUGGUUGAUGUUCAUAUUGUGCAACAAACAAGUCUCUAACAUCCUCUGUUUUGGGAGAGGAAACUCAGCAUUUUUAAGCCAUAGCAGCGCUGCACAUGAGUGGACUGUUACAGGCUAUGCCACUGCAGGACUGCCCACCCUUUGACAGGUACUGCUGAUGAUACUCCUCAGCUCUAUAGAAUUUCUUAGCUGGUAGAAUCUCAGUCAUGAUCUUACUCUCCAUUUGUUUCUGGUGACGUUCCAUUGACACCGCCGCUUGUUUCUCCUGCUCAGGUGUGUAGAAGUAUAUCCCUGAUCUGUAUUGGGUUCCAACAUCUUUUCCCUGAUAACAGUUCAAGUCAUUAGUCACGGUAAACUACAUGUAUAUCAUGUUACACUUCACAUCAUCAAAUGUUACACAUUCGAUUUGGUAUUGCAAAUGAAUUGAAUAACUAGCAGAUUAAAAAAAAAAAUAAGCAUUGAUUUUUUUGUGUUAUGUUUUCAGUUUUAAGUUUUUAAAAAAGUUGUAACAUUUCCACAUCUUUAUUAUGAAAAUCUUAGAAUUACAAAUCAACAACACAAAAAAAAAGUCUUAAAUCGUAUAAAGUACCUGGCGAUUCAAGGUGGUGGGGUCAUGUCUAGACCAGAAGACAUCAAGCAGAGACUCAAAGUUGCACUCUUUGGGAUCAUACUGAACCCUGACAACCUCUGCAUGGUUCGUUGUGUUCGUGCAGACAUCCUCGUAUGAAGGAUUGUGGAGGAACCCUUGGGUGUAUCCAACCUCCGUAUGAGUCACACCGGAGACUCUCUGAAACGCCAGCU